rnacentral:ncRNA from 1 species
UACGACGGGGUGCUUUAAAAGGCUGAGACGGAUUUUUUCCGAACCCUUGAACCUGAUCCGGAUAAUGCCGGCGUAGGAACGCUU